UUGUAGGAAUUAGAAUGCCAUAAGCCUACUUUGUCAUCGCGGGCAGACUCGUCUCAUGCACCUUAGUGAUAACAUCUCUAUAUCACACAUUUUGCUUCUCAGAAAAAAGGAACGCCUUGCGGCAGUGGGAUCUUGGACCAUAUUAAAUAUAAUAUUUUGUAUGUAUAAUAAUUAUUAUAUACACUUUUUGCAUUUCUUUAGAGGGGUGGGACAUAGUAAUGAUUCAGAUGAAACAAAACUAAAUCAAAUUUGAUAUCAACUACCCUAUUUUACUUUAGAGGGAAGUUUGAUAUCUAAGCAGAGCAUCCCUUUCUUUCCACUUGAGUAAGAAAAAGACAGAGUUAAAGUUCAUUGAAAUGGAUUAUACAAUUAGUAUUAGUUGAUGUCAGUGUUAAACUUGAUUUAGUUUUUUUUUGACCGAAUCAGUGCCAAUUUUUGCGAAAUAAAUAUUUUAAUAUACUCAAAAGAGAAUAACCGAAAAUACAAACCAAUAUUUGGACGGUUUGCAUAUUUUCAAAAUUAAAAAAAAAAUAACGAGAUGAAGAAAAUUUUCGUUGAAAAACUAUAAAAAAAGUGUCUUAACAUUAAAGAGAAAAAAAAUACUUAAAUUAAUUUU